rnacentral:rRNA from 1 species
UGAUGGAGGGGGAUAACUACUGGAAACGGUAGCUAAUACCGCAUAAUGUCGCAAGACCAAAGAGGGGGACCUUCGGGCCUCUUGCCAUCGGAUGUGCCCAGAUGGGAUUAGCUUGUUGGUGGGGUAACGGCUCACCAAGGCGACGAUCCCUAGCUGGUCUGAGAGGAUGACCAGCCACACUGGAACUGAGACACGGUCCAGACUCCUACGGGAGGCAGCAGUGGGGAAUAUUGCACAAUGGGCGCAAGCCUGAUGCAGCCAUGCCGCGUGUAUGAAGAAGGCCUUCGGGUUGUAAAGUACUUUCAGCGGGGAGGAAGGGAGUAAAGUUAAUACCUUUGCUCAUUGACGUUACCCGCAGAAGAAGCACCGGCUAACUCCGUGCCAGCAGCCGCGGUAAUACGGAGGGUGCAAGCGUUAAUCGGAAUUACUGGGCGUAAAGCGCACGCAGGCGGUUUGUUAAGUCAGAUGUGAAAUCCCCGGGCUCAACCUGGGAACUGCAUCUGAUACUGGCAAGCUUGAGUCUCGUAGAGGGGGGUAGAAUUCCAGGUGUAGCGGUGAAAUGCGUAGAGAUCUGGAGGAAUAC